rnacentral:lncRNA from 1 species
UUAUCAUCAUCUCAAAAUGAAAAUAAACCCUCACAUCACUCACCCAAUGAACAACUCUCUUUUUCUUUUGACUCAACCACUAGGGAUUUUAACUAACUUUUUACAAGCUCUAACCCUUUUUCAUUCCCUUCCCCAUCUUCUCUUUGAUUCUUUUUCUUUUCUUUCUUUUUCUCUUUUUUUUUUAUUAGGGGAAGGUUCUUUGUUGCAUAAUCAAGAGCUUCAUAUUUUCUUUUUUUUUAUCCCUAGAGUUUUCUUUUCUAUUUAUACUCUUUUGCUCAUCUCUCUCAUCUUUCUCACUCCCCAAACCCAAGAUUUUGAAGUUUAGAACACACAAACCCCUC